rnacentral:rRNA from 1 species
AGUGUGUAUCAAUCGAGUUUCUGACCUAUCAGCUUUUGAUGUUAGGGUAUUGACCUAACAUGGCUUUGACGGGUAACGGGGAAUUAGAGUUCGAUUCCGGAGAGGGAGCCUGAGAAAUAGCUACCACAUCUAAGGAAGGCAGCAGGCGCGUAAAUUACCCAAAUUCUAAAUAAGAGAGGUAGUGACAAGAAAUAACAAUAUAAGGCCAAAUUUUGGUUUAUAAUUGGAAUGAUGGGAAUUUAAAACCUUCCCAAAAAUCAAUUGGAGGGCAACUCUGGUGCCAGCAGCCGCGGUAAUUCCAGCUCCAAUAGCGUAUAUUAAAAUUGUUGCAGUUAAAACGCUCGUAGUUUAAUUUCAAGGGUAAUAUUGUUUUAAGUACUAACUUGGAGAAAAUUGCGACUUCUGUCACUGUUUUCAUCCUUGCUGAUGUUCUUUUAAUUACAGACCCUUUGAGAGCCCAUUAAUUUAUGACUGGGUUUCUCGUUACUUUGAGUAAAUUAGAGUGUUCAAACAGUUAAAGCGUUUUCGCGUUUGAAUAUUAUAGCAUGGAAUAACAACAUUGAAUAAGUCAAAAGUUUUUGAAAAACUUUUCUUAUUUUGGCUUAGUUACGAUUAAUAGGAGUAGCUUGGGGGCAUUUGUAUUCAGAUGUCAGAGGUGAAAUUCUUAGAUUUUCUGGAGACAAACAACUGCGAAAGCAUUUGCCUAAAAUACUUCCAUUAAUCAAGAACGAAAGUUAAGGGAGUGAAGACGAUCAGAUACCGUCGUAAUCUUAACCAUAAACUAUGCCGACUAGGUUUUGGAUGAAAAUUUAUAAAUAAGAUUUCCCUCCGGGGAAUUCUUAGAUUGCUUCCUUCAGUACCUUAUGAGAAAUCAAAGUCUUUGGGUUCUGGGGCGAGUAUUCGCGCAAGCGAGAA